rnacentral:tRNA from 1 species
CGGGAUGUAGCGUAGUCCGGUAGCGCGCCUCGUUCGGGACGAGGAGGUCGUGGGUUCAAAUCCCGCCAUCCCGA